rnacentral:rRNA from 1 species
AUUGAACGCUGGCGGCAGGCUUAACACAUGCAAGUCGAGCGAGCGGCGGACGGGUGAGUAAGGUCUGGGAAACUGCCUGAUGGAGGGGGAUAACUACUGGAAACGGUAGCUAAUACCGCAUACAAUCAGAUGGGCCCAGAUGGGAGUAGCUAGUAGGUGGGGUAAUGGCGCACCUAGGCGACGAUCCCUAGCUGGUCUGAGAGGAGGACCGGCCACACUGGAACUGUGACACGGUCCUGACUCCUACGUGCGGUCGCAGUGGGGACUAUGGCACAAUGGGCGCAAGCCUGCUGCAGCCAUGCCGCGUGUGUGAGGGAGGCCUUCGGGUUGUAAAGCACUUGCAGCGAGGAGGCGUUACUCGCAGAAGAAGCGCCGGCUAACUCCGUGCCAGCAGCCGCGGUAAUAC